rnacentral:rRNA from 1 species
GUCCACGCCGUAAACGAUGUCAACUAGCCGUUGGUCCUAUUCGUUAGGAUUAGUGGCGCAGCUAACGCAUUAAGUUGACCGCCUGGGGAGUACGGCCGCAAGGUUAAAACUCAAAUUAAUUGACGGGGGCCCGCACAAGCGGUGGAGCAUGUGGUUUAAUUCGAUGCAACGCGAAGAACCUUACCUACCCUUGACAUCCAGAGAAUCUGUUAGAGAUAGUAGAGUGCCUUCGGGAACUCUGAGACAGGUGCUGCAUGGCUGUCGU